GGGUAUAUAUAUAUAUAUAUAUAUAUAUAUUGAUAAGCAGGGCUGGGAUCAAUGUAGUCUUCUCUUGGUUAUGGAACAGGAAUACUAAUGGCUGUUUGAUUGGCAUGGUGGGAAUGGGUUUGAAGAAAUUCACCUAACCCUGCCUGUUGCCUUCCAAUGUGGAAAACUUGGUGUUUUUUGGAGGAAAAGUGAUGAUUGUGCCUCCAAGUAAGGAAGACUUGCAAAAUAUAAUAAAAGCCUGGUAUCCAAAUUUAGAGCCAAUUUCUGAGAAACUCAUAGGAACCUUUGAAAGGGUUAACUCUUCUCCUGUACAUCAACUAGCGGGAUUCCACCCCAGAAAUUCUGCUGUUAGUUUUCUCAGCAGAUUCUCAUUAAGGGAUCUUCUUAAAUGGUGCAAGCGAAUCUUAGGUUUAGGCUUUAGCUUCAAUGGAGAUGGUUUGUCAGCUUAUGAGUGUAAUUACUGAGAUAUGGGUUCCC